rnacentral:rRNA from 1 species
AUCUACAGCCCUACCACCCUGAAGGGCACCUAAUCCCAUCUGAUCUCAGAAGCUAAGCAGGGUCGGGCAUGGUUAGUACUUAGAUGGGAGACUGCCUGGGAAUACUGGGUGCUGUAGGAA